rnacentral:lncRNA from 12 species
ACCGACCUGCCAAAAUCGCAUUCUACAUCCUCGCUUCGCUCCUGUCCAACCCCUGGCAGAGAUACUCACGGGCAACAAGUGGACAUGACGUGAACACAGACAGGAUGUGGAGAGGACAGAGUGAGGCCGGAACAACGCAGUCUGCACUGUUCAACACAUUAGCCCCAAGCCAUAACUAGAUAGUAUAAUUAAGAUUGAGUGAAAUUAGGGGCACCUGAGUGGCUCAGUGGGCUUUUGGUUCAGGUCCUGAUCCCAGGGUUCUGGAAUCGAGCCUGCAUCGGCCUCACUGCUCCUCAGGGAGCCUGCUUCUCCCUUUCCUCCCUGCUUGUGUUCUCUCUCCAUACCUCUGUCACUAUCUUUGUUGCUCUCUCUCAAAUAAAUAAAAUCUUUAAAAAAAUUAAAUUGAGUCAAAAAUUUCGUUCUGCAGUUGCACUGGCCACCCUUCCAAGUGCUGAAUAGCCACAAGUGCCUAGUGGCUAUGAUAUGGGAAACUUCUAUCGGACAGCUCUGCUAGACCCUAGGCCAUCAGGGACUAAUAAAUAAUAAUAACUACAAUUCAUUGAGCGCCAACAGUAUACGAGGCAUGAUAGUUGGUGUUUUAUGCCUAUUUUAUUAAUCUCCAGAAAAUCCAUGAAGUACUAUCAUUUGCAUCUGAGACAGGAAAGAACUGGUACUAAACAUUCUUAAUCAUUUGCCCUUCAUGCUCAGUAGUAACUGGCAGAAUUAGAACAUAGACCAGUUAAUGUCAAGCUGGAACAUGAACUCCAGUUUCCUAUGGUGAGCCUUAUAGACUGAUCAUACAGCUGACAUUUAUUGAGCACCUACUACUAUGUGCCAGGCAUUGUUCUCAUAAGUAACAUACAUAAAAGGCCGGGACUAACCUACGGCUUGCAAUUCCAAUCUCUGUUUGCAGGGCCAGUUGCUCUUUCUAGAUGGCCUCUCUCCUGCAGCCAGCUGUCAGAUGCCUCUGCUUGGAAGAUUCAGCUCCAUUUCACCUUAGAGUUGGACAGCAAGAAAAGAACGAUGAACUUGAAAUCCUGCUGUAUGUCCUUGGCACUCCACAUAAUAAAGAAAGGAUGAUACUGAGAGCCUGGAUGAUACUGAGAGCCCACCGGUUCCUGUCCAGUUCACUUGGAACAACCUUAUCAGCCUUCAGACUCCACAUACCUCCAGCUCGUCUGACCGGAGUGGGUGGAUCCUUGAGGGCUUCCUCUGGUCCCGUGGGUGGACAAUGUCCCUGCCCAUCUGACUCAUGGGGGCGGGUCACAUUAAAUAUGAUAGGACCAAAGUAGAAGGCACCAGUGACCAGAUGCAUCAGGAACAAAGAGGGAGGAAAGCAGGGCCCUGAAAAUAGAAAUCACAUCAAAAAAUAGAUGACGAGUUGAUAAUGCCUUGAGGCCUUUGUUCAGGAACACUCUGGCACUAUAAAGGGAAGAAUGACAGCACCAUAUUCUCCUAUGAAGCAUGAGAUGGUUUUUCUUGAAGAGUUCUUCCCAAAGAAGGCCUUGUGGGUUGUGGCUAGCUCUGUUUUCCAUUUUUAUCUAGAUUUGUUCUUUAACGCAAAUGUUAUUCUUUUUCCAAGGAUUGCUGUAUCAUCACAUUAACAAUAAGAUAAACAAACUUGACAAAAAUUCACUGGAAACAAUAAGUGUGGUAAUUGCAUAUUCUUGUCCUAGGUAUUCCUUUUUUGUUCUCAAUUAAAAGCAGUUCCAAGCAGUCGUGUAUGCCGUAUCAUUUGUUCACCUUAAAUAAAUACUUUUGAAUCUAAAAAUAUAGCA